rnacentral:rRNA from 2 species
AACUUUCAGCAACGGAUCUCUUGGCUCUCGCAUCGAUGAAGAACGCAGCGAAAUGCGAUAAGUAAUGUGAAUUGCAGAAUUCAGUGAAUCAUCGAAUCUUUGAACGCACCUUGCGCCCCUUUGUAUUCCGAGGGGCAUGCCUGUUUGAGUGUCAUUA